ensembl:lncRNA LINC01203 long intergenic non-protein coding RNA 1203
CUGCAUACAUUUCCUGCCAAAUAGCAGCUAGAAUGAAGGUCCCCUCAACUUUGAGGACAGAACAUUUAUAACCUCCCUAUCACCACCACAAGAUGUAGCAUAUACUAGCUAUUUUUUUAAAAAAAAUUUCCCAACAAGAUUGCAUGCAUUCUGAGAGGAAGUGUUAUGUCUUAAAAUUUUUGCAUUUCUUAUAGGGGACUGUACCUAGUAAAUAGUCUUCGGUAAAUACACCAUCAGAAUGCAAAAAUCAAAGUGGGAAUAAGCAUUCUAACCUCUCAUUUUAUAGAUGAAGAAACAGGUUCAGAGAAUUGAAAAGAUUUGCCCAGAUAAAAGUACGUAGUCAAAAUUAGAUCUCAGACUACUCUGUUCCCCGGGCUGUUUUUGUUUACUCCAUGUAUCCUCUGUUAAUUGACCAGAUUGAUUGAUUGACUUCCUAGCUCUAUCACCAGGAAGUCAAAGUAAAACUCCACCACUGAACUCUUGAAAGGCGUGUCUUCUGAAGGGUAGGAUUUCCCAUCAAAGAAACAGGAAAAUGCCAUUGGCAAUGAGCUGAAGACUGACUUUGAUUUACCCUACCAAGCAUGAUUUUAAUGACUACUUGUACAAACAUGUAGGUACAUCAAUAUUGGGUAGAUUCAUAGUGUUAGGAUAAAUUAGGUAAUUGAGUAGAAAAUACAGGCACAAGCUAGACUAGGUCCAAACACCUGGCCUCAUAUCAGUUGAAACCAUCAUAUCAAGAAUAAACAAUAGAAAGACAUGAUCACUUUCAUUGACUUCAGCUGGAAACAUUUACAAUCCAAUUUCAAUUUAGCAAGAUUUCAUCAGAAGGUAUCUCCCACAAAUUGAGGUCCAUCUUACUGUUAUUAUUUGAAAUCUUUUUGUAUAUGUGUAGUUUGGAACAUCUGUUAUUGCUGCUACUACGGUUUCUAUCACUGUUUGAUGCUGGGACUCUUAAGCUCCAACCACGUUUUCACCGAGCUGAGUCGCCUUCUUAUCACCCCUUUCUGGAGCAGCAGGACAUCUGGGGAUGAGAAGAUGGAGAGAUCAUCCUUAUAUAAUGUUGCAGUCUGGAAGCAUCACUCUCAAAAAGCCAUUGUAGAGAAUCCAAGCCGAGUUUAAGAGUGCUGUGGAAAUACACUGCUGCUACUGCUGUUUCUAUUACUGUUUGAUGCUGGGACUCUUAUGCUCCAACCACGUUUUCACCCAGCUGAGUCGCCUUCGUAUCACGCCUUUCCAGUUUUGAUAGACUAGAAAAAUGACAAGACUCCAAGUCCUUGAAGAGGAGGAAAAGUGUGAAGAAAACAAAAAAGGGAGAUUUAUGUCUGCUUCACCAUUUUGCCCAAGACUUGACCUGUCAUACACUGAAGCUCAGAGAGGAAGAAAGGACCGUGUGAGAGAAGAAGGGAACAGCCUUUCAUCCAUAGGAGAAGUUCGUCUAUGACAAAGCCACUAGCUCCAUGUGGCCGCUGAGCACUCAAAAUGUGGCCAGUCUGAAUUGAGAUAUGUUGUUAGUAUAAAGUCCACAUCGGCUUUUUGAGCACUUUGUAUGAGAAAAAAGAAUACCAAAUAUCUCCUUAAUAAUUGUUACAUU